rnacentral:rRNA from 1 species
CCCGUCACAUCAUGAAAGCCGGUUGUACCCGAAGUCCGCAAGCAAACUCGCAAGAGGAGCAGCGGCCGAAGGUAUGGCUGGUGAUUGGGAUG